rnacentral:lncRNA from 1 species
AAAGAAUGGUAUCUCUAGAGGUGCGGUGGUUCGAGGUUCGGGUCAUGGUGGUUUAAUGGAUUCACGAUGAAAGAAUGGUAUCUCUAGAGGUAGUGCUUUAUGGUGGUUCGGUAAUCUAUACUCGCGGUGGCUCGUGGUGGUUUGCGAUGGCUUUCCGAUUCGAGGCUUCCCUUCUCACGAUGCAACAAGAUGAGUCUCUGUCCAAGAGGGCACACGAUGCCCCUGAGACCCAUUACAUCACUUCACAUGCUUGAUUAGGUUUUGGGACCUAUCCCUCAAUCAUGGAAUCACAGAUCCGCGGGAAAUCGGUAAGGG